rnacentral:lncRNA from 1 species
AUGAGCCGGGACGUUUUCGGCCGGAGCGGGCCUCAAGCUACGGCGAGCGACGGCCCGAAUUCAGCGGCCGGUCGGGGCGGGCGAGCGGGUGGCCGAGGGCACCGUGAACUGGAGUCUCGGCCGGACGCGGGGCCGGCUCUAAAGGGAUGCGGAUUUCUCUCCGAGCUCCGCGCGUCCGUGGCCGUCGGUGGCUCCCCGCUCCCGGCAGUCGGGGUCGAGCUGCCUCUUAACCCUGCAGAGACCGAUUUUCGCUCCGGAGAGGAGGUCACGGGUCCGGUUAGCGCUGAUGAAACCGAGGGCCGCUCCGCUCGGUGUGCGGCGCGCUUCGUAAUUAGGCUCGAUGAAAGGAAGACGUGGAAAGCGGCCUCGGGGGUUGAAUCGUUUUCCCUUUUUUUUUCCUCUUCGGCCUCGCUCUUACGUUUUCGAGGUCCAGACGGAAUGAAUACAAGCGAAGGAGAAGCGGGCUUUCCCCAGCUGGGACAGAGCGUAUUACAACCAGGAUGCCCCUGGCCCCGGAAAUAGGCUGGGUGAUGGAAAAUAGGUUGAACGAUGUCAAAAUGAACACGAAUGACCGGGGAGCUGAAAGAUAGUGUUUAUAAGGACAGUAUUCAUAAGAAGCAGCGUGUGGCCUAGUGGAAAGUGCAUUGUCCUGGGGAGUCGGAGGAUCUGCGUUCUAAUCCCGGCUUCGCCACUUGCCGCUGCGUGACCUCGGGCAAGUCACGUAACUUCUCUGGGCCUUUCCUCAUCUGUGAAAUGGAGAUUCAGUGCCUGUUCUCCCUCCUGCCUAGACCGUGAGCUCCGUAUUCAUUCGAUCGUAUUUACUGAGCGCCUACUGCGUGCAGAGCACUGUACGGCAACAGAGAGAGACAAUCCCUGCCCACGGCGGGCUCACGGUCUAGAAGGGGGAAGGCGGACAUCAAAACAGGCACCGGUAGCACCUGUUUGGGACAGGGACUGUGUCUGACCCGAUUGUUUUGUAUCUCUCUCAGAGCUGAGUUCAAUGCUUGGCAUAGAGUAAGUACUUUAGGAGUACUAUUGUUGUUAUUUUGAGGGAAAAUUCUCUGUACCGAGGAAAAGAAAGAAAAGUGACCAAAAAACCACAUUUCUGGUCGGCGCCACUCCAUAUUGCAUUGCCAAAGGUUAAUGCUGGGAUUGGGUGAAGGCUCAAGGAGUGACAAGAAGCACAAAGGGCAUGUCAAGAGUUAACAGUGAUAAUAAUAAUAAUAAUAAUAAUAACGGUAACGGUGGUAUUUGUUAAGCGCUUACUACGUGCAGAGCACCGUUCUAAGCGCUGGGGGAGAUACAGGGUAAUCAG